rnacentral:lncRNA from 13 species
CUGGCUGUUUACCCCCUGGUAUCCCUGCCUUUGUUAUUGCGAGGGCUCCAGGAGAGGCCCCUAGGAAAAAGCAGUCACAUAAUUUCUCUUGGUAUGUUAUCUUUUUAAAUUUUCCCAGACUCCUGCUACUAUAGAAGAUAUUGGUUAAAUACAAGAAAAAAACCAUUCUGUUUGUUCCCUGGAUAAACAUAAACAAACCCCAGUAUCAAUUUGUUCUGUGCUGUAACACUGUCAAGAUAAACAUACAGCUAUAUGUCAAUGGUUGUUAUAACAAUGACCACUUUUUAUAUUUCAGCAUUGGACUACUAAGGCAAUUAACAACACUCAAAAUUACAGGGAAAAUGUUUCUCUUAAUCAGAAAAUGCAUGCAUUUCAACCAAAUACCUAAUUUACACCUUAUUCCUGAAAUUGUACUCGCCAAAGAAACUAGACUGAAAAGCAAUUUGCAGUGGAAGUCUGUAUUAUUAUUACUGCUUCCCAGGAAAAGCAGAAGUAAAGUGACUUGUCCAGCAUACCAGGACUGAAUUAGAAAGGGACAGGUAAGUGCUUAAGUUCUGUUGUCUGGUGGGACAAGAUGUCUCCCAUGUACAGAAGAGCACAGAGGGGAAAAUCCUAUUUGUUUCAUCUUAAUUAUGCCAUAGGGUUAGAUCAUUGCUUAAGAAAAAAAAGCAAUGGUCUGAUUCAACAGCAAAUACUGGAUAUAGAGUGACUACAAGCUUGGCAUGAUUAAGCACUUACUUAGACUAUACGGUGGUUUUAUGCACCUAUGCUGUGCAUCUGCCAUCAUCUACCAGUAUUUUAACUGGGAUAUUUUAAGAACCAAAACCCCCUUUUAAUUUUCUUAGGUUCUGAUUGGAUGCUUAUGCUUUAGGUAAAAGAAUAUCCCAAAUAAUUAUGAAGUUUAUGUCUUUACUGUAGCAGAUUUGAGUAAAUGGGGCGGUCUUCUGAAAAUGCAGUUUUCUGAGCUAAUUAAGUGAAAGAAAAUUCAUCCUUUCUUCUGCUCAUUGCUGAUUUUCCUCUUGGUAAAAAAUUCAACAGCUCUCUAUGAGAGCCACUCAAAGAACACUGUGCCCCUUUGGCACUGACUAGUAAACAAGUCCCACAGAGCUUAGAAGAUUAUCAGCUGCUGAGGAAGCAGACGUUUGACUGUGAGCCCGUAGACGUACUCAGCGGGGUGCAUAAAAUAAGGUAAAAAUAAUUGUGCCAAUGUGUCUGGUUGAGAAACUCAAAAUUCCAGCAAGUGAGAAAAUAAACAAACAUAUGAGAUGGAAAAUUGCAGUAACAUCAGAGUGAGGUGGUUUGUGGUGAGCUGCUUGAGAGAAUAUUUUUGCUGUUUGCAAAAUUUUGCAGAGAAGAGCAAAAGAAUUGUGUUGUGGAUAUACGACAGAAAAGAAAGAAAAGUAUGGGAAGACAAAGUUGUAACUGAAAGUAUAAUUUAAAAUUUUUGUAGAUGGGAGAAAGCAAAAUAACAACAUUGCUCUUCAAUAGGUAUGAAGCAAAACAAAAAACAGUGAACUGAUUUAUGUAGUUUAUACCAGUAUUUGUACUUGCCCUCCCUAAACUCUAACCCCAGUAUGAAAGUAAUGACCUUGUAUCAAUUAUAAAUUGUGAGAGGAAAAGAAAUUCAUGAACUAAAAUAGUAAAGAAGUCACUUUAGGUUUUUAUGUGUCUUAAGAAGAUAUGUUCCAUAGCUUUAAGCUCAUAUACUGCAAAAGGUGUGAGACUCCCCAUAGUAAUGCCUUUGAACCUCUAAACUUUGCCCUGGAGUAAGAGGAGAAUUGUGGAGAAUGUGUUGUACUGAGAUCUCAAAAGUUAAAGGCAGACAUUUGUGAGGCUGAGGUUCCCAGGACAUGGGUGGUGCCAAGGAGAAAGUUACGGAGGGAGCAAUGUUGUGGCAGUGCCGUGCUCCCCUUGGCACGCCUUUUGUAGUUGCGGUGUCUCUGUCUGGGCUUUGUGGUUUUCUCCACCCUAAUCCUAAGCGUAACUCUGACCCUAAAUGGAUCAGUAAAAGCAGCCAUUUGUGAGGCGGUGGCACCAAGGGGAGCACAACACUGUCACAACAUCGUUCCCUUCACACCUUUCUCC